UACGGGGGGGGUAAGCGUUGUUCGGAAUUACUGGGCGUAAAGGGCUCGUAGGCGGCUAAUUAAGUCAUACGUGAAAUCCCUCAGCUUAACUGGGGAACUGCGUGUGAUACUGGAUGGCUUGGAUUUGGGAGAGGGAUGCGGAAUUCCAGGUGUAGCGGUGAAAUGCGUAGAUAUCUGGAGGAAUACCGGUGGCGAAGGCGGCAUCCUGGACCGACAUUGACGCUGAGGAGCGAAAGCUAGGGGAGCAAACGGG
rnacentral:rRNA from 1 species